rnacentral:lncRNA from 1 species
CUCGGAAAAUGCUAACCAACGGAUAUUUCAGCAAAAGAAAAGGAGAAAUAAAGUCGGAGAUAACGAAGGUCACGACAUUUGUUUGAAUAGGGUUGAAAUAAUGACCCGUGCGCAAGAGUUGAAAGGAGCACUAGAUGAAUUACUUAGACUGGUUGGAAGCGGGCCUGAAAUGGAGCCCAUGAAAUUGGUACGUUGUCACAAGUGUGGGGUUGAGUUGGAUGAGGAUCAAACCGGUGAAAUACACGUACCGGGAUUGACUCAUAAGGAACUACCACCAACUACAGAACAUGCAAAGCAGGGAGGAGAUGAACAUUGUGAUUCUCAGGUGAGGAUGGAAGCGGGAUACAAUGAAAACGAUGACAGGGUUGACUUUGUGGGGGUCAACCGAACUGAAGUAGACACAGGGAUUGCAGUUGAACGAGAAGAGGAACCGCUGUCUAAGGAAGGGGAGUUCAGUAUGGUGAACUUGGAGAAAUUGUCAAUGGACACAGUGAAAGAAAACAACGAUACACAAACGGCAUCAAGGAUUACGAACACUUAUAAUAGGAGGACAAAAGAUAACGAUAUGGGGACCGAAAAAGCUUUGGUGUUAUGGGUAGGUGGUGCCAAGAAAGGAGAAAGUGA